rnacentral:pre_miRNA from 1 species
GUCCUUGAAGUCCAAACCCAGUCCUUGAAGGUCACAAUCCUGCCGGGUUUUCUGUCCUACCAGGUGGAACCUGUGAGAUAGAAAACCCGCCUGGAUUUUGUCCCUCGAGUACUGGGUUUGGACUUCAAGGACUGGGUUUGGACUUCAAGGACU